UGUCCGGAAUCAUUGGGCGUAAAGAGCGUGUAGGCUGCUCGGUAAGUCCGCUGUAAAAGUCAAAGGCUCAACCUUUGAAUGUCAGUGGAUACUGCCGGGCUAGAGUCCGGAAGAGGCGAGUGGAGCUCCUGGUGUAGCGGUGGAAUGCGCAGAUAUCAGGAGGAACACCAAUAGCGAAGGCAGCUCGCUGGGACGGUACUGACGCUGAGGAGCGAAAGCAUGGGGAGCGAACAGG
rnacentral:rRNA from 1 species